AUGUUCCGCCGCCCAGUCGUCGUGUCCACACUGCGCAGCCUCCGCCACCCGAUCGGCCUACAUCUAGCAAAGUUGAGACCAGGUAGGACGAGGAGGAAGCAUAGAGGGAGACUGCGGGACGAAGAGGAGAUCUCGGUCAGCAUGCAACCUACACACCAACACCAUCCCAGCUCGUGUGCCGACUCGAGCCAGUUUUGUAGCCGCCAAGGGAAGUACAAAGAUGGCGUCGAGGCUUGGGCGUGUGGCCGUCGACGUGGAGCAGGCAGAGGAGGAGCGACUACUACCCCAACGGCAGCCUCUCCUCCCUUGUCCACGGACAUGCAAAGCACAACAACCAACAGCAGACGACACCUCCUCCAAAGCUAG
rnacentral:rRNA from 1 species